CAGGAUGAACGCUGCCGGCGUGCCUAAUACAUGCAAUUCGACCGAACUGAUUAGAAGCUUGCUUCUAUGACGUUAGCGGCGGACGGGUGAGUAACACGUGGGCAACCUGCCUGUAAGACUGGGAUAACUUCGGGAAACCGGAGAGCUAAUACCGGAUAGGAUCUUCUCCUUCAUGGGAGAUGAUUGAAAGAUGGUUUCGGCUAUCACUUACAGAUGGGCCCGCGGUGCAUUAGCUAGUUGGUGAGGUAACGGCUCACCAAGGCAACGAUGCAUAGCCGACCUGAGAGGGUGAUCGGCCACACUGGGACUGAGACACGGCCCAGACUCCUACGGGAGGCAGCAGUAGGGAAUCUUCCGCAAUGGACGAAAGUCUGACGGAGCAACGCCGCGUGAGUGAUGAAGGCUUUCGGGUCGUAAAACUCUGUUGUUAGGGAAGAACAAGUACGAGAGUAACUGCUCGUACCUUGGACGGUACCUAACCAGAAAGCCACGGCUAACUACGUGCCAGCAGCCGCGGUAAUACGUAGGUGGCAAGCGUUAUCCGGAAUUAUUGGGCGUAAAGCGCGCGCAGGCGGUUUCUUAAGUCUGAUGUGAAAGCCCCCGGCUCAACCGUGGAGGGUCAUUGGAAACUGGGGAACUUGAGUGCAGAAGAGAAAAGCGGAAUUCCACGUGUAGCGGUGAAAUGCGUAGAGAUGUGGAGGAACACCAGUGGCGAAGGCG
rnacentral:rRNA from 2 species